ensembl:lncRNA
CGAGACCUCAAGUCCAUGGUUCUGGAGAGCCUUUAGUCCAGCAAAGACUCAUAGGUAAACAGUCAAUUACAGAAGAGUGAGACAUGAAGCAUGAAUAAGACUUAAUCAGUUGAUGCUAAAUGUUCAAGAGGAAAUUAUGGCACACGGAAGGUUCGUGCCUAUGGACUGCAUUUCAUACCUCCAGUUACCACAGAGUGAAUUAUGGGAAAGGACAUGCGUGACCGGACGCGGACCUGACUCAGCUGCCUGUCAGUCACGUCUUCAAUCACGCCCUGGACGACUCAGUGGGAGGCGCUCUAGACCUGGCCGGACAUCUUAAAUUGUUAAACCCAACACCUCAGCGCUUGUGACAUUUUCCUUUCAGCCACCAGGAGCCGCUCCCUCUGAGCGUACCAUCACCUGAUUAAAGCUGCUGCUGUUUCUUUACUGUAGUGUGCCACUUGCAGCUCUUUGUUCAUCAUGCACAAGAACCUAGGAACCCGUCUGCGAGGGACCUUGCCACCCACGGGCUGUGCACAGAGCGCCCACCUCGCUGUGAAUCCCGGGGUGGGGAGCAGCAGGCAAGAAAGGGGUGUCCCCCUCACCGCACAGCCCUCCUUCGGAAGAGUGUGGGGCGGCUUCCAGAAGCAGCCAUGAGCAGUCCUCCCACCCACACCUGGCUGAGGAUGAACAAGGAUUUUUACCUUCUUUGCUUGUGAUGUACCCUAAGUGCCCUAAAGAAGGUGACAGCUGCCCUGCUUCCCUGCAGGCCAUGAAACAGUAAAUGAGAUGAGAAGAGCUCCGGAGAUGGAUGCUCAUGACGGCUGCCCACCACAGUCAAUGCAUCCAACACCCUGAAAAUACAGGUUCCAUGCUGACCUCAGUGGCACUCGAUUCCCGACCACCGCUCUCCUCCGGGACACACCCUGUCCUCUGUCUUCUGCUCCAUGUGUCCUGGCUUUGAAGCCCUCCGAAGUACAAAGGCUUCGUCUUCCUGAUCUCCUCUGCUCGGGCCACAGCAGUGCUGACCCAGCAAAGCCAAGGCUUUCACCUGCAAGGAAGAGCACUGCAGCCCGGGCCCCUCCCAGCCCCCCAGCCUUCCCGCCCGGAACAGGCAGGAUGCCUGUGUCUCCUGAUUCUGAGAUAGCUCCUGCUGUCAGUCUGCUUGAAUGAGCUCUUUUGUCCCUGAGAAUUUUCCCAUGUCGAACAUUUAGUCUGUUGUGUUAUGGGUCAGUGAGUGAGGAAAUAAGUCUGAAUUCUUAAACAACCUUGUGAACGUAAGACAUCUGUCUGAAAGGCAGUGCAACCAUAUCUGUCCAACUGUCC